UCUCCAAUUGGGUUAAAGUUGAGAGACCAUUUUUAGAGUAUUUAUCAAAUAUAGCCAAAUAUUAGCUCUUAAUUUCAAAAAUGUUAGUUUUUAUACAAACUUUCAAAUAUAUUCAAAAUAUAACUUAAAUAUACACAAAUGCCCUUAAACUUUAAAACCAAAUAAAUUAAAAGAAAACCAAUACCCUAUUAGAUUGAUAUUUUGGAAGGCAAAACCUAAAAAAUGGUGAAGAGAUAGUGAAGGCAUCGGCUACAGUGGAGACUUUGUGCAACCCUAAACAUAUGAAGUUGAGUGUAGAUGGUUAAUUUUUUUCAUUCUUCCUAGUCUACAUUUUCUCUUUGCCUUUGUAAUUUCUUCCUUUGGUUGAAUUUUAUUGAAGAACAAACUGUCAAUUUUUGUAAAGACUACGGAAUAGAAAUUCUUUAGCGCAUAUUAGAACAAUUAGGUUUCUUAUGUCAAUGGAAGAUUGACAACUCUAAUAGCAUUUGCCAAUCAGUUAGAGACGAAGCUAAUAGUUCUUCAAUACAUAUUUGAAAAAGUAGGGUUUACGGAAUAAAGUUUUUCUUUCUGUGUUUUAUU
rnacentral:lncRNA from 1 species